GAAGGCCCGUUUUCCCGUGGCUAAAAGNAUUAACGNGUCGCGGUAUCUUACCGUGCAAAGGUAGCGUAAUCACUUGUCUUUUAAUUGAGGACCCGUAUGAAUGACAAAACGAGGGCUCAACUGACUCCUUCUUUUAGUCAAUGNAAAUUGAUCUCCCCGUGCAGAAGCGGGGAUUCAUUCAUAAGACGAGAAAGACCCUAUGAAGCUUUAUACAAUCGGACAUACCCUGGUAAUACACCCCCAUUAAAGGGCCAAAACCUACCCACCCAUGUCCCCGUCUUAGGUUGGGGCGACCCCGGGGAACAAAAACCCCCCACGUGGAAUAGUAGNAUCCGCUAUCCACAACCGAGUAGCCACGUACUCCAAAAACCAGUAACCUCUGACCACANAAUAUGAACCCGGNAAUGCCNAUCAACGAACCAAGUUANUCUANGGAUAUACAGCGCCCUCCCCUUUUUAGAGGCCGCAUCUACUAGGGGGUUUAC
rnacentral:rRNA from 1 species